UGAGGAAUAUUGAGCAAUGGGCGCAAGCCUGAUCCAGCGACGCCGCGUGGGUGAUGAGGGCCUUCGGGUCGUAAAGCCCUGUGGGAAGGAAAGAAAACGUUGCGGGCGAAUAGGCCGCGACCUUGACGGUACCUUCUCAGAAAACACCGGCUAACUCUGUGCCAGCAGCCGCGGUAAGACAGAGGGUGCAAACGUUGCUCGGAAUUACUGGGCGUAAAGCGCGUGUAGGCGGGCUGGAAAGUCGGGCGUGAAAUCCCCAGGCUCAACCUGGGAACUGCACUCGAAACUCCCAGUCUAGAGUGGUGGAGAGGGAAGUGGAAUUCCUGGUGUAGAGGUGAAAUUCGUAGAUAUCAGGAGGAACACCAGUGGCGAAGGCGGCUUCCUGGACACCAACUGACGCUGAGACGCGAAAGCGUGGGGAGCAAA
rnacentral:rRNA from 1 species